rnacentral:rRNA from 1 species
UACGGGAGUGGUAAGCGUUAUCCGGAAUUAUUGGGCGUAAAGCGUCCGCAGGCGGUCUUGUAAGUCUGUUGUUAAAGCGUGGAGCUUAACUCCAUUUCAGCAAUGGAAACUGUAAGACUAGAGUGUGGUAGGGGCAGAGGGAAUUCCCGGUGUAGCGGUGAAAUGCGUAGAUAUCGGGAAGAACACCAGUGGCGAAGGCGCUCUGCUGGGCCAUAACUGACGCUCAUGGACGAAAGCCAGGGGAGCGAAAGGGAUUAGAUACCCCUGUAGUCCUGGCCGUAAACGAUGAACACUAGGUGUCGGGGGAAUCGACCCCCUCGGUGUCGUAGCCAACGCGUUAAGUGUUCCGCCUGGGGAGUACGCACGCAAGUGUGAAACUCAAAGGAAUUGACGGGGGCCCGCACAAGCGGUGGAGUAUGUGGUUUAAUUCGAUGCAACGCGAAGAACCUUACCAGGGUUUGACAUCCUGCGAAUCUUUUGGAAACAGAAGAGUGCCUUCGGGAACGCAGUGACAGGUGGUGCAUGGCUGUCGUCAGCUCGUGUCGUGAGAUGUUGGGUUAAGUCCCGCAACGAGCGCAACCCACGUCGUUAGUUGCCAGCAUUUAGUUGGGCACUCUAGCGAGACCGCCGGUGAUAAACCGGAGGAAGGUGUGGAUGACGUCAAGUCAUCAUGCCCCUUACAUCCUGGGCUACACACGUACUACAAUGCUACGGACAAAGGGCAGCAAACUCGCGAGAGCUAGCAAAUCCCAUAAACCGUGGCUCAGUUCAGAUCGUAGGCUGCAACUCGCCUACGUGAAGGAGGAAUCGCUAGUAAUCGCAGGUCAGCAUACUGCGGUGAAUACGUUCCCGGGCCU